GGUUAAGCGACUAAGCGUACACGGUGGAUGCCUAGGCAGUCAGAGGCGAUGAAGGGCGUGCUAAUCUGCGAUAAGCGUCGGUAAGCUGAUAUGAAGCGUUAUACCCGACGAUACCCGAAUGGGGAAACCCAGUGUGUUUCGACACACUAUCAUGGCAUGAAUACAUAGUGUCAUGAGGCGAACCGGGGGAACUGAAACAUCUCAGUACCCCGAGGAAAAGAAAUCAGCCGAGAUUCCCCCAGUAGCGGCGAGCGAACGGGGAGGAGCCCAGAACCUGAAUCAGUUUGUGUGUUAGUGGAAGCGUCUGGAAAGUCGCACAGUAAAGGGUGAUAGUCCCGUACACAAAAAUGCACAAGUUGUGAGUUCGAUGAGUAGGGCGGGACACGUGACAUCCUGUCUGAAUAUGGGGGGACCAUCCUCCAAGGCUAAAUACUCCUGACUGACCGAUAGUGAACCAGUACCGUGAGGGAAAGGCGAAAAGAACCCCGGCGAGGGGAGUGAAAUAGAACCUGAAACCGUGUACGUACAAGCAGUGGGAGCCUACUUGUUAGGUGACUGCGUACCUUUUGUAUAAUGGGUCAGCGACUUAUAUUCUGUAGCAAGGUUAACCGUAUAGGGGAGCCGCAGGGAAACCGAGUCUUAACUGGGCGUUAAGUUGCAGGGUAUAGACCCGAAACCCGGUGAUCUAGCCAUGGGCAGGUUGAAGGUUGGGUAACACUAACUGGAGGACCGAACCGACUAAUGUUGAAAAAUUAGCGGAUGACUUGUGGCUGGGGGUGAAAGGCCAAUCAAACCGGGAGAUAGCUGGUUCUCCCCGAAAGCUAUUUAGGUAGCGCCUCGUGAAUUCAUCUUCGGGGGUAGAGCACUGUUUCGGCUAGGGGGUCAUCCCGACUUACCAACCCGAUGCAAACUACGAAUACCGAAGAAUGUUAUCACGGGAGACACACGGCGGGUGCUAACGUUCGUCGUGAAGAGGGAAACAACCCAGACCGCCAGCUAAGGUCCCAAAGUCAUGGUUAAGUGGGAAACGAUGUGGGAAGGCAUAGACAGCCAGGAUGUUGGCUUAGAAGCAGCCAUCAUUUAAAGAAAGCGUAAUAGCUCACUGGUCGAGUCGGCCUGCGCGGAAGAUGUAACGGGGCUAAACCAUGCACCGAAGCUGCGGCAGCGACACUUAGGUGUUGUUGGGUAGGGGAGCGUUCUGUAAGCCUGCGAAGGUGGCCUGUGAGGGCUGCUGGAGGUAUCAGAAGUGCGAAUGCUGACAUAAGUAACGAUAAUGCGGGUGAAAAACCCGCACGCCGGAAGACCAAGGGUUCCUGUCCAACGUUAAUCGGGGCAGGGUGAGUCGACCCCUAAGGCGAGGCUGAAAAGCGUAGUCGAUGGGAAACAGGUUAAUAUUCCUGUACUCGGUGUUACUGCGAAGGGGGGACGGAGAAAGCUAGGUUAUCCGGGCGACGGUUGUCCCGGUUUAAGCGUGAAGGUGGAUGACUUUGGUAAAUCCGGGUCAUCGUUAACCACUGAGGCGUGAUGACGAGUCACUACGGUGAUGAAGUAACCGAUGCUACGCUUCCAGGAAAAGCCUCUAAGCUCCAGGUAACAUCAAAUCGUACCCCAAACCGACACAGGUGGUCAGGUAGAGAAUACUCAGGCGCUUGAGAGAACUCGGGUGAAGGAACUAGGCAAAAUGGUGCCGUAACUUCGGGAGAAGGCACGCUGAUGGUAGGUGAAGUGACUUGCUCAUGGAGCUGAAAUCAGUCGAAGAUACCAGCUGGCUGCAACUGUUUAAUAAAAACACAGCACUGUGCAAACACGAAAGUGGACGUAUACGGUGUGACGCCUGCCCGGUGCCGGAAGGUUAAUUGAUGGGGUCAGCCGCAAGGCGAAGCUCUUGAUCGAAGCCCCGGUAAACGGCGGCCGUAACUAUAACGGUCCUAAGGUAGCGAAAUUCCUUGUCGGGUAAGUUCCGACCUGCACGAAUGGCGUAAUGAUGGCCAGGCUGUCUCCACCCGAGACUCAGUGAAAUUGAACUCGCUGUGAAGAUGCAGUGUACCCGCGGCAAGACGGAAAGACCCCGUGAACCUUUACUAUAGCUUGACACUGAACCUUGAGCCUUGAUGUGUAGGAUAGGUGGGAGGCUUUGAAGCGUGGACGCCAGUCUGCGUGGAGCCAACCUUGAAAUACCACCCUUUAAUGUUUGAUGUUCUAACGUGGACCCGUGAUCCGGGUUGCGGACAGUGUCUGGUGGGUAGUUUGACUGGGGCGGUCUCCUCCCAAAGCGUAACGGAGGAGCACGAAGGUUAGCUAAUCCUGGUCGGACAUCAGGAGGUUAGUGCAAAGGCAUAAGCUAGCUUGACUGCGAGAGUGACAGCUCGAGCAGGUGCGAAAGCAGGUCUUAGUGAUCCGGUGGUUCUGAAUGGAAGGGCCAUCGCUCAACGGAUAAAAGGUACUCCGGGGAUAACAGGCUGAUACCGCCCAAGAGUUCAUAUCGACGGCGGUGUUUGGCACCUCGAUGUCGGCUCAUCACAUCCUGGGGCUGAAGUAGGUCCCAAGGGUAUGGCUGUUCGCCAUUUAAAGUGGUACGCGAGCUGGGUUUAGAACGUCGUGAGACAGUUCGGUCCCUAUCUGCCGUGGGCGUUGGAAGAUUGAGAGGGGUUGCUCCUAGUACGAGAGGACCGGAGUGAACGCACCACUGGUGUACGGGUUGUGAUGCCAAUUGCAUUGCCCGGUAGCUAAGUGCGGAAGAGAUAACCGCUGAAAGCAUCUAAGCGGGAAACUUGCCUCGAGAUGAGUCUUCCCUGGGCACUUGAUGCCCCUGAAGGGCCGUUGAAGACGACGACGUAGAUAGGCUGGGUGUGUAAGCGUAGCGAUACGUUGAGCUAACCAGUACUAAUGACCCGAGAGGCUUAACCU
rnacentral:rRNA from 1 species